rnacentral:rRNA from 1 species
CGAGUAACCUGCCCUUAACUCUGGGAUAAGCCUGGGAAACUGGGUCUAAUACCGGAUAUGACUCCUCAUCGCAUGGGUGGGGGGUGGAAAGCUUUAUUGUGGUUUUGGAUGGACUCGCGGCCUAUCAGCUUGUUGGUGAGGUAAUGGCUCACCAAGGCAACGACGGGUAGCUGGUCUGAGAGGAUGGCCAGCCACAUUGGGACUGAGACACGGCCCAGACUCCGUACGGGAGCAG